UACGGGGGGUGCGAGCGUUGUCCGGAAUCACUGGGCGUAAAGGGCGCGUAGGUGGUUUGAUAAGGGUGUGGUGAAAGUCCGGGGCUCAACCCCGGAUCUGCCGUGCCGACUGUCAAACUCGAGGGCUGUAGAGGCAGACGGAAUUCCGGGUGUAGCGGUGGAAUGCGUAGAGAUCCGGAAGAACACCGGUGGCGAAGGCGGCCUGCUGGGCAGCAGCUGACACUGAGGCGCGACAGCGUGGGGAGCAAACAGG
rnacentral:rRNA from 1 species